GACGAACGCUGCGGCGUGCUUAACCCCUGCCAGUCGAACGGAAAGGCCCUGCUUUUGUGGGGUGCUCGAGUGGCGAACGGGUGAGUAACACGUGAGUAACCUGCCCUUGACUUUGGGAUAACUUCAGGAAACUGGGGCUAAUACCGGAUAGGAGCUCCUGCUGCAUGGUGGGGGUUGGAAAGUUUCGGCGGUUGGGGAUGGACUCGCGGCUUAUCAGCUUGUUGGUGGGGUAGUGGCUUACCAAGGCUUUGACGGGUAGCCGGCCUGAGAGGGUGACCGGCCACAUUGGGACUGAGAUACGGCCCAGACUCCUACGGGAGGCAGCAGUGGGGAAUAUUGCACAAUGGGCGGAAGCCUGAUGCAGCAACGCCGCGUGCGGGAUGACGGCCUUCGGGUUGUAAACCGCUUUCGCCUGUGACGAAGCGUGAGUGACGGUAAUGGGUAAAGAAGCACCGGCUAACUACGUG
rnacentral:rRNA from 1 species